AUUGAACGCUGGCGGCAUGCUUUACACAUGCAAGUCGAACGGCAGCGCGGGCUUCGGCCUGGCGGCGAGUGGCGAACGGGUGAGUAAUACAUCGGAACGUGCCCAGUAGUGGGGGAUAGCUCGGCGAAAGCCGGAUUAAUACCGCAUACGACCUGAGGGUGAAAGCGGGGGAUCUUCGGACCUCGCGCUAUUGGAGCGGCCGAUGGCAGAUUAGCUAGUUGGUGGGGUAAAGGCCUACCAAGGCGACGAUCUGUAGCUGGUCUCAGAGGACGACCAGCCACACUGGGACUGAGACACGGCCCAGACUCCUACGGGAGGCAGCAGUGGGGAAUUUUGGACAAUGGGCGAAAGCCUGAUCCAGCAAUGCCGCGUGUGUGAUGAAGGCCUUCGGGUUGUAAAGCACUUUUGGCGGGAACGAAAAGGACUGUGCCAAUACCACGGUUCGAUGACGGUACCCGCAGAAUAAGCACCGGCUAACUACGUG
rnacentral:rRNA from 1 species